GGGGCCGUAAAGGUUUCGACGGGGAUAUCCGGCGCAGUUAAGCAAGCACAGCCGCACGUCUGUUUAAUCCGGGCAAAAACAAAUAAACGCUAACAAUAAAUUAGAACUCCAAGCAGCCUAAGGGCUGCUUGCGUCCGACCGAGCUUUGCCGUUGACACGGAUUCGGGCGUAAACUAAACGGCAAACCUCGCCGCCUAUGCCUUUAAGCGGCGUUUUAUCAAAGGCGGCUCGCACGGUGGUCUGUCACUUGUCUGCCGUGCGCUGAGAUUACGAUUGACUAAGCUUGUAGAAAAACCGCGUGAAGUAUUUUCGGACAGGAGUUCGAUUCUCCUCGGCUCCACCA
rnacentral:tmRNA from 1 species